ensembl:misc_RNA Metazoa_SRP Metazoan signal recognition particle RNA
GCUGGGCGUGGUGGUGCAUGCCUGUAGUCCCAGAUACUUGGGAAGCUGAGGCAGGAGAAUUGCUUGAACCCAGGAGUUCGCUGCAGUGAGCUGAGAUACCGCCACUUCACUCCAGCCUGGGUAACAGAGCAAGACUCUGUGUCAA